GAACGCUGGCGGCGUGCUUAACACAUAGCAAGUCGAACGGGGCGACCCCCAACGGAGUUUUCGGACGAACUGCGGGGAAUGCCUAGUGGCGGACGGGUGAGUAACGCGUGAGCAACCUGCCUUGGAUGGGGAAUAACAGAUGGAACAUCUGCUAAUACCGCAUGAUGCAGUUGGGCCACAUGGCUCUGACUGCCAAAGAUUUAUCGCUCUGAGAUGGGCUCGCGUCUGAUUAGCUAGUUGCGGGGUAACGGCCCACCAAGGCGACGAUCAGUAGCCGGACUGAGAGGUUGGCCGGCCACAUUGGGACUGAGACACGGCCCAGACUCCUACGGGAGGCAGCAGUGGGGAAUAUUGGGAAAUGGGCGCAAGCCUGACCCAGCAACGCCGCGUGAAGGAAGAAGGCUUUCGGGUUGUAAACUUCUUUUCUCAGGGACGAACAGAUGACGGUACCUGAGGAAUAAGCCACGGCUAACUACGUG
rnacentral:rRNA from 1 species